rnacentral:rRNA from 1 species
CCUACGGGAGACAGCAGUGGGGAAUAUUGCACAAUGGGGGAAACCCUGAUGCAGCGACGCCGCGUGAGUGAAGAAGUAAUUCGUUAUGUAAAGCUCUAUCAGCAGGGAAGAAAAUGACGGUACCUGAGUCAGAAGCCCCGGCUAACUACGUGCCAGCAGCCGCGGUAAUACGUAGGGGGCAAGCGUUAUCCGGAUUUACUGGGUGUAAAGGGAGCGUAGACGGCAGUGCAAGUCUGGAGUGAAAGGCGGGGGCUCAACCCCCGGACUGCUCUGGAAACUGUACGGCUGGAGUGCAGGAGAGGUAAGUGGAAUUCCUAGUGUAGCGGUGAAAUGCGUAGAUAUUAGGAGGAACACCAGUGGCGAAGGCGGCUUACUGGACUGUAACUGACGUUGAGGCUCGAAAGCGUGGGGAGCAAACAGGAUUAGAUACCCUUGUAGUC